rnacentral:rRNA from 1 species
CCGCAUCUGUGCAUGCAGCAUAUCAAUAAGCGGAGGAAAAGAAACUAACAAGGAUUCCCCUAGUAACGGCGAGUGAAGCGGGAAGAGCUCAAAUUUGAAAUCUUAAAGGGUUUCCCUUUACGAAUUGUAGUUUAAAGAAGUGUUUUCUGUUGAGGUUUUGGUAAAAGUUCUUUGGAAUAGGACAUCAUAGAGGGUGAGAAUCCCGUAUUUGACCUUUACUUUCAACUUUGUGAUACACUUUCAAAGAGUCGGAUUGUUUGGGAAUGCAGUCCAAAAUGGGUGGUAAAUUUCAUCUAAAGCUAAAUAUUGGCGAGAGACCGAUAGCGAACAAGUACCGUGAGGGAAAGAUGAAAAAAACUUUGAAAAGAGAGUUAAACAGUACGUGAAAUUGUCAAAAGGGAAGCGUUUGACACCAGUGUUGUUUUUCUGAAAAUCAAUUAAAGAACUGUUUAUGCUAAGCUGUUUAGACUUUAUCAGCUAACUGUUUAGUUUUGAGCUUUUCUUUAAUGCACUUUUCAGUUAACAAGUCAACAUCAAUUUCUCUUGCUGUAAAAAAGCUUGAGGAAGGUGGCUUGAGAUUCGUCUUAAGUGUUUAUAGCCUCUUGCCUAUGCAGUCGGAGAGAUUGAGGUCUGCAGCGUAGAUCCUUCGGGGCUAAAUGCAUUUGUGCUAAGUUAUAGCAUUUUAUAGACAACUUGUUGACUAUGAUUUGUCUUGUAGCUUACUCGCUUAUGUUAUUUUACCUACGCUUAGGAUGUUGAACUCUAUCACACACAG